GCCAGUUUCGAAAGCCAUGCUUUUGCUGACUGCGUGCGCCAGAAGCAGUAGUGGAGCCAGGAACGCGUCGUAAGCGCCAUGUUUUGGACAUUAUUAUUUUGGAAAUUAAUUUUAAAUAACACUUCGAAGGCGAUGCUUCUGGGAUACUUCGCGUCGUUAUGUGUCUGUUGUGUACCCCCUGCGCCCCCUGCUCGCAUAUAUCUGCGGUGUCCAAAACACAAUGCCUAUGACGUAUUUUUGGCCACCAAAAUCACUUCCGCCGCAUUCAACCAGCGAAAGCAUAGCCUUCAAGAUUUGCACUCUAGAGAGUGCUACACAAUGGUCCGUCGAAGAAAGUGCCACGAGAUCAUCACCAGAGCAUCACCAGCGCUUCUGUAGAUGCCUGGAUCUGGUGUCCCAGUAUUCUACAAACUGUAAUAUGUUACACAGACAAGCCGAAGCUCUCUAGUAAGGGUCACUUUCAAAUGCCUGGCAUAAACAUGGGAAAACACAGGGAAGGCGGGAGAUGGAAAAUCAAGACGAUGAUUUUACCUUGUUCUCAUUUUGCUCAUCAUCUGGCAUAAACAUUGAGAUUUAUAAUUGCAUUUCAAAGAUUACACAUCCCUGCUGAUCAAAAAAACACCUUUAAUAUGCACAUUUUCUCUGUAGAAUUGGUGAUACGGCACUUGGGUGAGUGAUCUCAUUGGUUUCCCCUGUGACGUCAUCUAGAGUAUUGUCAGCCUGGCAGUGCUGAUCGAAUUUUUUUUGAGGGGCAUAUUUUUACAAACAGCAUUCGACUGAUUGGAUGCAACAUAUUUUUCAAAGGCAAUGAUUCUAGGACAAUUGUCAUGUGCGUUGCUAGAACAGAAUACCAUGAGAGCACUACUGCAGUUCAAGUUGACUGACACCUGCAACUGUUUAUAGACUUGGCGUGCACCUUCCUGCAUGCGCGCAGUUAGUGCCUCUCUUUUUAUGUCUUAAUCCCCUUCACUGCCAGGUAGCAAACCGGACAUGCUUCUGGUUAACUUCCCUGCCUCUCCUCAAUUCUCUCUUGUUUUAACUAACCUUCUUAUUUUGAUGUUUAAGAACAACUUCAAAAGACUGAAUUUUAAAGCUUCUAUGGAAGAAUUUCCUUACUUUAACCAACUAGAAAUAUUUUCACUUUCCAAGAAAAUUUGUGAAACACUCAACCUACCCACCAACUCUUAUAAAAAAAAAGAUUCCUAAUGUAAUCUUGAAGACAUAUGUGAAGUCCCUCUUUGAAAAACAUGUACAAGGUCUAGUGCUGCAAGCCAGGAUUGUGCUAUCAACAGGCUAUCUACCAUCCUUCUUCCUUAGAAUUUACAACUAUUUUUGGAGGGCUUCCAGUACACUUCAGUUCCAAUUGGCUCUUCUCAUUGAAAGCAGCAGUAAAGUGGUUUGUAACUGUCACAGGACGUACUUGUGGAUACACUGCAUGAAAGUAUGUAGCAUAGUGGGCACACAGCACUAUGAUUAAGGUAGCCACCUGACCGGUUUUUCCGUCAUGGUGCCAGCUGCCAGCUCAACCCUCCACACCAGCAACCCAUUUGCCAAAUUUCUGGUUCUCCCUUAAUCGACCCACUAUAUAGCUACUUUAAUUAUUUGUAUUUUUGCAUAGAUUUCGCACCUCCCCACCAACCCCUCUCAGUGCCAAGUUUUUUAUGGCAACCAUACUCAUAAAGCAAGGGAAGAGAAAUGCAAAACAGUGUUUCGUGUAUUAGCCAUUCUCGCUCUAUGUGGUCAUAGCACCUCGCAUAACAAUUUGUAGGUUCUCACUAAAAAAAUAACAUUCCUCAGCACCUAAUGCACAUUUAACAGAUUAUUCAAAAAUUAAGAGGUUCUACUCUUUGUGGUGAUCGUAUCACAGCCUAUGUUGUUUUUUUGCCACAGUUGAAUGCAGCACUUGAAGAAAAAUUUCCACCUACCUUGUGGGCCAAGUUCUUUUCAUUUUACAUUUGGAUGUUUAAUGCUGCCAAUUACCAGCAGCCAUUCGUCCCUCCAGUUCAGCUCGACUCCAUCUGUGGUCCUACUUGAAGCAGCAGCCAACUUCGUUGAAAAGCAGUCACAUGCCAGGUUUACGAGAAGACUGACUGCUUGAAAAGCAAAGCGCAAAAUGAAAGCUGCUGUGCCAAAAGCUCUGAAUUUUUCUGCUGAUAACUGAUGGCAGCUCUAACUUUGUUCUGAAGAGGACCUAUAAGGCAUGUACGUCACAGUUUGGACAAGGGCAGCUGACAUGUUAUUGGUUCUUUAACAAGCUGUAGUUUUACGUGCCAAAACCACAAUGAUUGAGGCAUGCUACAGUGGCGGACUCUGUAUUAAUUUUGACCACCUGAGGUUCUUUAACAUGCACCCAACGUAUUAUACACGGGUGUUUUUGCAUUUUGCCCCAAUUGAAAUGCGGCCGCUGUGGCCGGUAUCUAAUCCUGCGCCCUCGGGCUUAGCAGUCCAAUGCCAAAGCCACCAUGGCAGGUCAGCUACUGGUUCUUCGCUCCUGUAUGCGUUACACCCUGGGCACCAAAAACAUGGUUUGUAGUGGCACCUAUUACCUCUACAAACCAGGAUGGUGUUACUAGGUCUUAGUGAGGGGAGCUACUCCUAUAGUAUAUGCAUUGCUUAUCACAUGGUCAGUUUCAUGUGCAACUGAUGCUCAAUGACCGACCUAGCCAUGUAUUAAAUGUCACAGCAAGUCUCGAUGCCAAACACAGGGUUAUUUAGAGUUGCAAAACCAGCAGCUUUCCGGUAACAUUUUAAUACUCAUUUGGAACAGUGAGAAGUUUUGCACAAGCUCCAAAUAUUUAAUAGAUGCCACCACUGUUACUAUGAUGCAGAUUCUCUAACUAGGGUGCAAAAAUGUAAUGCACAGCAGUCAAAUACAAGGCCAGCAGGACGCACAGGCUCAAGAAAACCUGGUCAUUAAUGCACACUUUCAGGUGUGUAACUUUUCCACGAGCGAGAAAACUGCUUGAAGUCGCACCCAAACUGGCACCUAUAAUGUUUGCAACAGUAAACGUAGAUGCUGCACGUAAAUUACGUCUACGCACAGCUUGCAGAUUGGCAGCCAGAAAUUCUUUAUUCAUUAAGUAGCAAUUGUGAUUUUUUUUUCCCUUAACUGUGUGUGUGCGCGUAGCUCGCAAACCUUAGAAAUGUCUGUGCUGUGGGCUAUAACUAGGGCUCCGUGUUUUUGGAUAAAUAAAAAAAAAUCCGGUAAACACUCGCCGGUAAAAUUUUAAACAAUUCGGAGUUAUCCGAUAAACUCCGAUUUUAACGGCCAAUAUGACCCUGUUCCAUUCUUUAUCGAAAGCCUUUCAAUAAAGGGCAUGUUCUAAGCGGUCACUGAUACAUCAGCCAGCUUGGCCGAUAUAAAUGUUUCCUCACGUCAGCAGUAUCUCGUAGACUGCACUCAUUGCACAUUUAACAAAGGGCUUGUCGCCCCCAGGAGAGCGAGACAUCUUGAUACACGGUCCCCUGGUGGCACUCGUACGCCAGGGGACCGAAUCAAGUGCAAAAAGCCUGCUGGCAGAAAGCAUGGCAUGCUCACAUGACGCAUUUCUGUAGCGCGUGAACAGAAAUUUUGGGAAAGCAAAAUGGGUAUGAAACGAAAGCUUUCCAGCAACUACGUAAAGGAGUUUAGUGAUUUUGAAGAGUCGUCAUCUCAAGGAGUCACUGUUUGCAAGUUUUGUCAUGCGACAGUUAGCAUAGCCAAUAGCAAAGGCACCUUGAGAAUUGCGGAGCAUCUACAAUCGCAACGCCACGUCCAACUGAAGAAGCCCCGUCUAGACACAGGCGAGUCUUUUUUUUAACUGUUGGUGCUCCGAAUUUACGGCUAUUUGAGAGUGUAUGAAGCGUACUUUGUACAGCCUGACACGGUUUCUCCGUUUAUUGUGCACGCUUCUUCCUAUGCCAGGUGUCUUAACAGACUUCACAUGGUCGCAAUACAAUUUGUUCCCAUCAUCUUUUUAUUCGUAUCCCUUAGGCAACUAUCCCAGCAAAGCUCGCUGGAAGAAUGCAUCACACGGGCCUGAUCCAACAGACCAUGACGCAGAUGACAUCCUGUGCCAGUUUUGCCGUGCACUCUCAUGAUGGGAUUCCACUGCACCAGGCCGAUAGACCUCUUGGCAGCCUCUUUCGAAGCAAGUGUCUGGCAGCAUACACGAUACCAGGGGCUGUAAUGCAAAAUUUUCCUACAUCAGAAAGAAGUGAUGUCGAGAGUGUAAUAAAGGUGUGGCUGCACCACUCUGGCGAAAAACUGCGAAAACAGCAGGCCAAGGCUGCCACAUCUCAAUGCUCACUGGAUGUGCACUCAGAUUUUUCAGAUUAAAUGCCUCAAAGUUCAAGAGGAAUCACUUUGUUCAAGAAUAUUGCUGGCCUUGGCAAGGGCCAGCAUAGUCAUUCAUAAUAUUCUAGUCAGGAAACUGCACUUCGUUGAAGAAAUGUUGGCUUUGGCAAGUGCCACCACAGUCUUUCAUAAUAAACUCUAGUCAUUGGGAAACUGGUUAUAUUUGUGUUUGCUUUAGCAGGUGCCAUGACCAUUACCCGUAUGCAUUGCCUGCUACAGAUACUUUUUAUAACCAGCUAGAUUAAUUUUCGUUGGUAAAGAAAAAUUAUUUUCUUCCAGCCGGAAUUUCAUCCAUGAUUCAAAAGGCAGAAUUGACAUUAUCUGGGCACGGUGCUCAUGGCACCUUCAACAUGGAGUUUCGUGCGAUAGAUGAAGUAGCCGAGUCAA